rnacentral:sRNA from 1 species
UCUAUAAGGACAGGCAGAAAUUCUCAGAACAGGUUUUCAAAGUGGCCUCCUCAGACCUGGUCAACAUGGGCAUCAGUGUGGUUAGCUACACUCUGAAGGACAUUCACGAUGACCAGGUAAAACUAGGCAAUUGAUCCUUCCCCGCUUCCUUGCUCCCAUCUCUUAAGCCCUCCAAAGGACUAAUUUCUACAUCUCUUCCAUAGGACUAUUUGCACUCUUUGGGGAAGGCUCGAACAGCUCAAGUCCAAAAAGAUGCACGGAUUGGAGAAGCAGAGGCCAAGAGAGAUGCUGGGAUCCGGGAAGCUAAAGCCAAGCAGGAAAAGGUGUCUGCUCAGUACCUGAGUGAGAUCGAGAUGGCCAAGGCACAGAGAGAUUAUGAGCUGAAGAAGGCCGCCUAUGACAUCGAGGUCAACACCCGCCGAGCGCAGGCUGACCUGGCCUAUCAGCUUCAGGUGGCCAAGACUAAGCAGCAAAUUGAGGAGCAGCGGGUGCAGGUGCAGGUGGUGGAGCGGGCCCAGCAGGUGGCAGUGCAGGAGCAGGAGAUCGCCCGGCGGGAGAAGGA